UCCGCCGCUGAACUGAUGGUUUAAAUAUUC
rnacentral:piRNA from 1 species